rnacentral:rRNA from 1 species
UACGUAAGGGGCAAGCGUUAUCCGGAUUUACUGGGUGUAAAGGGUGAGUAGGCGGCGAUGCAAGUCAUAUGUGAAAUUCCGGGGCUUAACUCCGGAGCUGCAUAAGAAACUGCGUUGCUUGAGUGCAGGAGAGGCAAGCGGAAUUCCUAGUGUAGCGGUGAAAUGCGUAGAUAUUAGGAAGAACACCGGUGGCGAAGGCGGCUUGCUGGACUGUAACUGACGCUGAGUCACGAAAGCGUGGGGAGCGA